rnacentral:rRNA from 1 species
AGAGUUUGAUCAUGGCUCAGAUUGAACGCUGGCGGAAUGCUUUACACAUGUAAGUCGAACGGCAGCACGGGGGCAACCCUGGUGGCGAGUGGCGAACGGGUGAGUAACAUAUCGGAACAUACCCUAGAGUGGGGGAUAACGUAGCGAAAGUUACGCUAAUACCGCAUACGAUCUAAGGAUGAAAGUGGGGGAUCUUCGGACCUCAUGCUCAUGGAGUGGCCGAUAUCUGAUUAGCUAGUUGGUGAGGUAAAGGCUCACCAAGGCGACGAUCAGUAGCUGGUUUGAGAGAACGACCAGCCACACUGGAACUGAGACACGGUCCAGACUCCUACGGGAGGCAGCAGUGGGGAAUUUUGGACAAUGGGGGCAACCCUGAUCCAGCAAUGCCGCGUGAGUGAAGAAGGCCUUCGGGUUGUAAAGCUCUUUUGUCAGGGAAGAAACGGUGAGUUCUAAUACAGCUUGCUAAUGACGGUACCUGAAGAAUAAGCACCGGCUAACUACGUG